UGGGGAAUAUUGGGCAAUGGGCGAAAGCCUGACCCAGCAACGCCGCGUGAAGGAAGAAGGCCUUCGGGUUGUAAACUUCUUUUACCAGGGACGAAGGACGUGACGGUACCUGGAGAAAAAGCAACGGCUAACUACGUGCCAGCAGCCGCGGUAAUACGUAGGUUGCAAGCGUUGUCCGGAUUUACUGGGUGUAAAGGGCGUGUAGGCGGAGAUGCAAGUUGGGAGUGAAAUCUAUGGGCUUAACCCAUAAACUGCUCUCAAAACUGUAUCCCUUGAGUAUCGGAGAGGCAAGCGGAAUUCCUAGUGUAGCGGUGAAAUGCGUAGAUAUUAGGAGGAACACCAGUGGCGAAGGCGGCUUGCUGGACGACAACUGACGCUGAGGCGCGAAAGCGUGGGGAGCAAACAGG
rnacentral:rRNA from 1 species